rnacentral:rRNA from 1 species
AUUAGCGGCGGACGGGUGAGUAACACGUGAGUAACCUGCCUUAGACAUUGGGAUAGCCUCGGGAAACCGGGAUUAAUACCAAAUAGAAUCAUAAUGACACAUGUCAUAACGAUCAAAACUCCGGUGGUCUAAGAUGGACUCGCGUCCCAUUAGCUAGUUGGUAGAGUAAAAGCCUACCAAGGCGACGAUGGGUAGCCGGCCUGAGAGGGUGAACGGCCACAUUGGAACUGAGAAACGGUCCAA